CGUAGAGAAAUCGAGUCUUAAUAGGGCGUUUAGUUGCUGGGUAUAGACCCGAAACCAGGCGAUCUAUCCAUGAGCAGGUUGAAGGUUGGGUAACACUAACUGGAGGACCGAACCCACUGUCGUUGAAAAGCCAGGGGAUGACUUGUGGAUAGGGGUGAAAGGCUAAUCAAGCCUGGUGAUAGCUGGUUCUCCCCGAAAGCUAUUUAGGUAGCGCCUCGGACGAAUACCAUAGGGGGUAGAGCACUGUUUCGGCUAGGGGGUCAUCCCGACUUACCAAACCGAUGCAAACUCCGAAUACCUAUGAGUACUAUCCGGGAGACAGACUGCGGGUGCUAACGUCCGUAGUCAAGAGGAAAACAAUCCAGACCGCCAGCUAAGGCCCCAAAAUCAUAGUUAAGUGGGAAACGAUGUGGGAAGGCAUAGACAGCUAGGAGGUUGGCUUAGAAGCAGCCACCCUUUAAAGAAAGCGUAAUAG
rnacentral:rRNA from 1 species